rnacentral:rRNA from 1 species
UACGGAAGGCAGCAGUGGGGAAUAUUGCACAAUGGGCGAAAGCCUGAUGCAGCUAUGCCGCGUGUAUGAAGAAGGCCUUAGGGUUGUAAAGUACUUUCAUCGGGGAGGAAAAAACAAAACUAAUAAUUUUAUUUCUUGACGUUACCCGAAAAAGAAGCACCGGCUAACUCCGUGCCAGCAGCCGCGGUAAUACGGAGGGUGCUAGCGUUAAUCAGAAUUACUGGGCGUAAAGAGCACGUAGGUGGUUUUUUUAAAGUCAGAUGUGAAAUCCCUGGGCUUAACCUAGGAAACUGCAUUUUGAAACUGAAAUACUAGAGUAUCGUAGAGGGAGGUAGAAUUCUAGGUGUAGCGGUGAAAUGCGUAGAUAUCUGGAGGAAUACCUGUGGCGAAAGCGGCCUCCUAAACGAAUACUGACACUGAGGUGCGAAAAGCGUGGGGAGCAAAACAGGGAUUAGAUACC